AAGCUCUCGGCAGCCAAAGAGGUGUUUGCUCGGUGGUUCAUUAAGAUCCCCUGCAGCUUUGUCAUCACGGCAGUUAUUCAUCCACACAGUUCGUUCGUACGGUGGCAAUCGGAUGGGAGCAGCACGCACAGUCGACGGAAUGGCUUUAAUCUUGUCAACUUGUCGAUUAUUAGACAUGCACGACCAUACAAGAGUGUGCCGACAACAAGACGAGACGCCCAAGACGACAGGCGUGGUUUAGAAGAGACUGAUGACUGCGUCUCUCGCCCUGCUUCACCACGCUCCCCGUACGCUUUUUCUUCCUCGGCUCUGUCCAGGCGGGUUGCGAGCAGAACCCACUGCUGUAUUAUGUAACAUUCCAGGAAUAAAUGGCUCGAGACGGAGUGUGAAAACCUCAUCUCAGUUUGCAGGUGGUUUGUUAAAGUAGACAUUUUCAUCAGGAAAUCCAGCCAGGAACCCAUGUGAUUACAACAUCUUUGCUCUUGCUGUUGUUGUGUGUGUGUGUGGGAGAUGUGUGUACAUUGAAGUGCGAGGGGAGUCUCUUUGCAUGUGUGUGUGUGUGCGCGAGAGAGUGUUUGUCACAUCAACACUGAGAUUCACAAGUUUUUCUUUCGGAGAUUUCACAUUUUUACACAUUUCCCACUUUCUUCGAGUGCUGUUGUUGAUGGCUCGGCAGGUCUGGAUAAAUACAAGAAUUCUGACCUUCACUGUGUCCCAAACAAACAAGAUUUCCCUCAGAUGUUUCCACAGCUUUGGACGUGGCUCCACUGGCAUUCAAAACCAGGACCGGUUUAACAAAGCUAUGAAGGCCACGCAUGUCAACACAUUCCUUACCAGAAGCUUCAGUUUUAAUUUCAGAUGAAGUUUGGGGUGGUUUGCUACCAGGGAAGACUCAAAGGGCAAUAAACAUAUCUGCAAUUUUUUGUAAAGAUUGGCUCUUUUUAAUAAUCUCAGAAUGCCUUGCUGCCAUCUCUGUAUAUCACGGCCCUGAAUAUGCUUAAACUGGAACUGGUUUCAUCAGCUGCUUUCUGAAUUUGAAUAAUGUAUAAAGGGCUUCAUCUUGGAUGAAGAGCUGUAAUGGUUGUGAACACAUACAGCAGAGGAAGGAGCUUUUAAACCUCACUCGCUAAGAGCCCGAGAAGAGGCUUCCUGGAAAAACACUCCAGUGAAUGAAACCCUCUUUUUAAUUUUAAGGGAAAGAACACAUCUGUAGCUUGGUAAAUGUGCCCUGCUGGAGGGGUUUUGUUAAACUCGUUUUUAACUGGUGCACAAUUAAGAACAAUGAAUGAGGAAUGAGGGCUAAUCAAACCUUUAGUUGGCAGGAUCCCAGUCUUGUGUGUAAACCUCUGCUCACCUCAAUCUCCUCUCCUCAUGGGUCGCCUUGCCCUGUUUGUUUUGUUAUGCCAUGUGCUCGUUGUUUGGAUUGGCGGUCCUGCCUCCAGACUCCUCCCACGGCCACACCCCUGAUUGGGGCACAGCUGUUACCGCCAGCAGUAUAUCAACCCCUGGUCCUGCAGACCUGGGUUCGUCAGUCUGUGUCAUCUUCGGCUCUGGUGGGCUUCGCCACCAUGCAGCAGGUCGCUUGUUGCCUGCUCGUGGACUAUUUCGCUCUUCUCUCUCGGCGUCCAGCACCUGACCGAUUGACCGGCCCUCAUGUGUCCGACCUCAGGCUCCACAUUCCCGCCCUCUCAGGGGUUGAAAUAAAAGCUGUAUACCUGA
ensembl:lncRNA